rnacentral:rRNA from 1 species
GGCAGCACAGGUAGCAAUACCGGGUGGCGACCGACGCACGGGUGAGUAACGCGUAUGCAACUUGCCUAUCAGAGGGGGAUAACCCGGCGAAAGUCGGACUAAUACCGCAUGAAGCAGGGGCCCCGCAUGGGGAUAUUUGCUAAAGAUUCAUCGCUGAUAGAUAGGCAUGCGUUCCAUUAGGCAGUUGGCGGGGUAACGGCCCACCAAACCGACGAUGGAUAGGGGUUCUGAGAGGAAGGUCCCCCACAUUGGUACUGAGACACGGACCAAACUCCUACGGGAGGCAGCAGUGAGGAAUAUUGGUCAAUGGCCGAGAGGCUGAACCAGCCAAGUCGCGUGAGGGAUGAAGGUUCUAUGGAUCGUAAACCUCUUUUAUAAGGGAAUAAAGUUCGGGACGUGUCCCGUUUUGUAUGUACCUUAUGAAUAAGGAUCGGCUAACUCCGUGCCAGCAGCCGCGGUAAUACGGAGGAUCCGAGCGUUAUCCGGAUUUAUUGGGUUUAAAGGGUGCGUAGGCGGCCCCUUAAGUCAGCGGUGAAAGUCUGUGGCUCAACCA